rnacentral:lncRNA from 1 species
ACUCCCAAAUCCUGGAAUUUCAAGAUGGGGAAUGACCCAAAAUCCCCCCAAAAAAAACCUGGAAAGGGGGGAAAUAAUCCUCAAACUGGGGUUAAAAAUAAAAAUAAAAACUUUAAAAAUAAAAAUGAAAAUUUUCUUUGGGAAUAAAAGGGGAAAAAAAACAAACUGGGAUUAAAAAUAAAAAUAAAAACUUUAAAAAUAAAAAUGAAAAUUUUCUUUGGGAAUAAAAGGGGAAAAAAAACAAACUGGGAUAAAUAAAAAUAAAAACUUUCUUCGGGAAUAAAAGGGGAAUAAAAAAAAACCAAAUUUGGGGUUAAAAAUCAAAACUUUAUUUGGGAUUAAAAGGGAAGGAAAAAAAGACGAAAACCAGGAUUAAAAAUAAAAAUAGAAACUUUAUUUGGGUAUAAAAACCCCAAAUUUUGGGGAUUUUGGGGUCGGAGUUCGUCGAGGGCGUCGCUGUUGUUCCGGGAUUGGGAAUUCCGGGAUUUCUGUGGGAAUUCUUCCCCAAAAAUCCCAAAUUUUGGGGAUAUUUUUGGGGGGCUCUUGGUGUUGUGACGGGGUUGGGAAUUCUGGGAUUCCUGUGGGAAUUUUUCUCCAAAAAAUCCCAAAUUUCAAGGCACUCGAGGGAUGGGAAUUCUGGAAUUCCUGAGGGAAUUUUUACCCCAAAAAACCCAAAUUUUUGGGGAGGGCUCCAGGGAUGGGAAUUCCAGGAUUCCCUCGGGAAUUCUUCCCUAUCCCAAAAUUCCCCAAAAAUCCCAAAUUUUGGGGAUAUUUUUGGGGGCUCCUGAUGUCCUGUCAGGGAUGGAAAUUUUGGGAUUCCCACAGGAAUUCUCCCCCAAAAAUCCCAAAUUUCGAGGGGUUCCAGGGAUGUGGGAUGGAUCCAAAAAAUUCCAGGGAUUCUGGGAUUUGGGGAGGAUCCCGAAAAUUCCAGGGAAUUCCAGGGAUUGGGGAUGGAUCCAAAAAAUUCCAGGGAAUUCCAGGGAUUCUGGGAUUUGGGAGGGACCCCGGGAGUGCCAAUCCCACCCUUGGGAGUUCCCUGGACCCUCUGGAUUGUUCCAGACCCCCAAAAUUCCAUCCCAGACCCCCCAAAAUCCCAAAUUUCCCCCAAAUUCCCCGAAUUUCCUGUUCCUCACCUCCUGCCACACCCGGUGGUGGCUCAGGAAGCAGAAACUCCUUUGGAACUCCCUGAAUUCCCCUGCACUCCCAGAGCUCCUGGAUUGCUCCAGACCCCCCAAAAUCCCAAAUUUUCCCCCCAAAUUCCAGAAUUUCCCGUUCCUCACCUCCUGCCACACGCGGUGGUGGCUCAGGAAGCAGCGGCUCCUUUGGAACUCCCUGAAUCCCAGAGCCCCUGGAUCGUUCCAGACACCCCAAAUUCCAUCCCAGACCCCCCAAAUUCCAUCCCAGACCCCCCAAAAUCCCCAAUUUUCCCCCAAAAUUCCGGAAUUUCCCG